AAGCUUGUAACUUCUCACAACUUUGCUUUAUCUUAUAUUAGUAGCUUUUUUUUAACCAACCUGAACAUAAGUUUCAUAAUGAAUGUAAUUUAACUGUAUAUUUAAAAAAGAGAAAACAAGUUUCUGAGCUGACUUGUCAGCAAUAUAACAAAUGCAAAUACGAUUCAGAUUGAAAACAAAGCUACUAAUAUAAGAUAAAG
rnacentral:misc_RNA from 1 species